CACUACAGGACCGGUGGGCUAAACUUCAUCCGUCGAGACUUCAUUCAGAAGAGAACUGAGGCCUGGCAAAACUACUGGCAAGAUGAUGGACCAAAUGUGUCUUUCUCUGCUUUCUCUUUCAGGACUCCUGUCACUGACUCUGUGUAAACCACACGAGUAUAUUCUGAUCCGACAGAACAUGCCGUGGGAAAAAGCUCAAACCUACUGCAGGGAAAACCACAUCGACCUGGCCACAGUUCAGACCGAUGAAGACUGGGCCACUCUGCAAGAAG